UACGAAGGGGGCUAGCGUUGCUCGGAAUCACUGGGCGUAAAGCGCACGUAGGCGGAUUUUUAAGUCAGGGGUGAAAUCCUGGAGCUCAACUCCAGAACUGCCUUUGAUACUGGGAAUCUCGAGUCCGGAAGAGGUGAGUGGAACUGCGAGUGUAGAGGUGAAAUUCGUAGAUAUUCGCAAGAACACCAGUGGCGAAGGCGGCUCACUGGUCCGGUACUGACGCUGAGGUGCGAAAGCGUGGGUAGCAAACGGG
rnacentral:rRNA from 1 species